rnacentral:rRNA from 1 species
AUGUCCUACGGGACGCAGCAGUGGGGAAUAUUGCACAAUGGGGGAAACCCUGAUGCAGCAACGCCGCGUGAGUGAGGAAGUAUUUCGGUAUGUAAAGCUCUAUCAGCAGGGAAUAGAAAAGAAGGUACCUGAAAAAGAAGCCCCGGCUAACUACGUGCCAGCAGCCACGGUAAUACGUAGGGGGCAAGCGUUAUCCGGAUUUACUGGGUGUGAAGGGAGCGUAGACGGAAAGGCAAGUCAGAAGUGAAAACCCAAGGCUCAACCAUGGGACUGCUUUUGAAACUGUCAAACUAGAGAACGGGAGG